rnacentral:rRNA from 1 species
UACGUAGGGUGCAAGCGUUGUCCGGAAUUAUUGGGCGUAAAGAGCUCGUAGGCGGUCUGUCGCGUCGGAUGUGAAAAUCCAGGGCUCAACCCUGGACCUGCAUUCGAUACGGGCAGACUAGAGUUCGGCAGGGGAGACUGGAAUUCCUGGUGUAGCGGUGAAAUGCGCAGAUAUCAGGAGGAACACCGGUGGCGAAGGCGGAUCUCUGGGCCGAUACUGACGCUGAGGAGCGAAAGCGUGGGGAGCGAACAGG